ACAGUGGUGGUUCAGAGGUAGAAUUCUCACCUUCCAAAUGGGAGACCCAGGUUCAAUUACUGGCUAACGUA
rnacentral:tRNA from 1 species